UAAGGAUGAUAAAACCAAAUGGUUCAAAUGUUAAAAUUGUUCUCUAGUAUGAAAGAAUAGGCACUACUUGCACCUAUUGUGCCAUGAUAGGACAAGACCAUCGAUCCAACCUUACUUUGUUAGAAGAUGCAAAAUAGUAGAGACAAUUUACCAAACAAGCUGGGUGAAUGGUUCAAGGCUAAUCAAGUUUGAGCGAGAGUAGAGAUGAAAGAGGAAUCAGAAAAUGGUGGCAACUCGAAAUCGCAAGCUAAUGAAAGACUUAGAAGGAAGAAACUUGUGCCAAAUUUCAUAGAUGAUUUUCUUAUUGAUAUAGGCAUGGUUAGCCAGCCAUUUACAUAGUUAAACAGGUAUAAUGGAGAUGAUCUCAUUAGAAAAAUACUUGAUCAUGUGUUAGUAAGGGGCUAGUAGUGAAACUGGCAUCAAUUAGCAUUGGUGAGAAAAUUAGUAGAGAAUGAUUUUGAUCACUCUCCUCUUUUAUUAGACACCGAACCUCCUAAAUAGCAAAGCAAGAGGAGGUCUAAAUUUCAAGAAAGAUGGUGUAAAAUGGAGGAAGUAAGAAAACUAGUUGAGAAAGAUUGGAGUAUAGAGAUUCACUACAGUAGAGGCGGAGCCUAGCGGUGGCUAAACAGCGGCCGUGGCCACAAACGCCGCUAAUUGAAUAGAUCUCCGCAGAGGUCAGCAGCAAUCUGGAGAGAAGCCGCAAAACGACCCUGGGUAGCGGCCGUGCACUCAGAACCACUACGAAUUUUGGGUUCUAUAUAUCUUCAACCUUCCUUAUUUUACCCAUGCUCUUGGCGCGAACACAAGCACGAGCAGAGGCGUGAAGAGCACCCAACCUCCCUGUGCCGCAACCUAUCUGCGAGAACACCCAGAAACCCCGCUAGUUGAUUUUGGUAGCGCACCAAACACGAGCGGGAGCAGAGCCGCGUAAUAUCAGCAGAAGAACCCACCAGAAACUCCUUGCCAAAUCCCUGACCUCUGCUCCACCCGCCAUUUCCGUGUUGGCUGUCGAAUCACGCAGCUGCCAACCAUGGUCCUAUAACUAGCGACGAAGUUGAGCAUCUCAUCGAUCCUGCGUGAAACUGCUACACCGUCCUCCACCGUGCGUCAAUCUUAGCUAUCGCGGCCUCUCCCCUUUCACUGGAUGCAAGUUCUUGGACCUUGUCGAUAAUAAUUUCCUGAUUGCAUUGACUAUCACUAUCUAGAAGGAAUGCUACUUUCAAUCUGAUCUCUUCAAACGGUCACAUCUCAGGUAUUUUCUGGCUGAAAUUGAGGGUCCUGAGCAAAAAUCUGAUUCAGAGACUGAAAAGGACUGCAGAUGCUGUUGGAUUCUGACCUCCCUGCACUCGAAGUGGAUUUUCUGGAGCUACAGAAGCCCAAUUGGCGCGCUCUCAAUGGCGUUAGAAAGUAGACAUCCUGGGCUUUCCAGCAAUGUAUAAUAGUCCAUACUUUGCCCGAGAUUUGAUGGCCCAAACCGGCGUGGCAAUCAGCCUCAGAAUUUCCAGCGUUUAACGCUGGAACUGGCAUAAAACUUGGAGUUAAACGCCCAAACUGGCAUGAAAGCUGGCGUUUAACUCCAGAAAAAGUCUCUACACAUGAAAGCUUGAAUGCUCAGCCCAAGCACACACUAAGUGGACCCAGAAGUGGAUUUUUACGUCAUUUACUCAUUUCUGUAUACCCUAGGUUACUAGUUUACUAUUAAUAGGAUCUUUUGACAUUGUAUCUCGACCUCAUGACACUUUACACGUUUCUUUGUGUACUUCCUAUGGCAUGAGUCUCUAAACCCCAUGGUUGGGGGUGAGGAGCUCUGCUGUGUCUUGAUGGAUUAAUGCAAUU